AUGAGAAUCAAAGGGGGAUUAGUGGAGGUUAGAAAGGAUCAAUCAUGGGCCAUGGGUGUGUAAAACGGAUUGGAGGGAGGGUUGAAGGAUAAAAAUGUUUGGGCCAUCGAUGUUGAUUUAGGCAAAAAAAGCCAAAUUUCUGGCCGUCAACCCAGGUUUGAUAUUUGAACUCCACGUUCCAACAAGCCAUGGGAAAACGCUUCAAAACACAAAAAUGGACGCCUCACUAUCGGUGCCGAAUCUCCCUCGACGGCCACGUGAAUCAGCGUGACCUCGACGCAAAGCUCAUCCUCAAUUCUUCAAUCUGCAUCGUCCUUGUUGCUUUACCUCCAUUUCACGGUGUUAUAGUUGUCCAAUUGCGCUUCGCUGAUGUUGAAUCGAGAUGAAGAUCGAACGGUUGAUCCGUACGAAGAGUGUUACGUUCGUAUCGUGAUGGAGAAUGAAAAUGGAAGUGUGAAUCGAAUUGUGGCAUGGUCGAUGGCAACGAGUCUGUGAUGGUUCGAUGCAUGAGUUCGUGGUUCUUCGCCCUUGCACAUUGUUGAAAGUGAUAAGGGAGAGCUCGUCUUCUCGUCCGUAUUUAAAUACGAAGACUGUAGAUUCGCGCCUUGAAUGAUUGAAUCUCCCUUUUUUAAUCUUUCGGUGAACCAAACGUGACGAAGGCGAAGGUCCUCAAUUCCCCUUUCUGAUUUUCAGCUACCGGUUACUUGAGGAUGGUUGUCGCGAAUUCCCGGGAAUUGGAGGAAGGAGGAGUAUGGCGGGAGGUUCUGUUCUUGUUAGCAGGUUAAAGGUUAUACAGGGUGGUAGAUGAUGGUUAGAAGUAGAGGAUUGAAGAAGUUGGUUGAAGAUGGGGUGAAAGGUUGUUAGGGUUAGGAGGAAUGAAGAAUGGUUAUCGAAGGGUUGUCUAGAAAAUGGAGCGUGAAGGUCCCUCCUCAGGUUUGAGAGGAGUGAAGGUUCUUAUAGAGGUUAAAGGUUUGUUAGAAAAUGAUGAUGGAGGUCCCCCUCAGGAAAAUUCAGUUAGCCGGUUUUAAAAGGAUCGUUGAAGGAUGAAAUUGGGAUGGCGAAAAUCUAUUAUGAGUUAUCGACAAAUGGCAUUUUCAGUUAUCAAUAUGUUAAGUUUGUUGUGGAGGGAGAUUGAAGUUGGUUCUGCAGAGUUAUUAUUGACAAUUAGAGGAGAGCUUGAGGAUGUUAUAUCAAAGAGGUUUUUGAAAAUUGGUUUCUUGAAAGUUCUCAUUCCGUUAUGGAGGUUCGUUAGCAGUGAAGAUUAGAGAGGUUAUUGACGGUUCAAAAAAAAUCCAGUUGGAGGACUUUGGCGACACAUUUAGAACUUCUAUUCCUAAUGUUGAGUUUUGAAGCUGUUAGGUUAUGUUGAGGCAGUUUCGAUUAGCUAAGAAGUCUUGGUUGGUGGUUCACUGCGGUUAGAGAAGCUCUAUUGGAAGCCCCCCUGAGUUAGAAGAAGUGGCAAUUUAAGGAGUUAGUUGGAGGUUCGGUUAUAGGUUGGUUAGGAAGUUUGUUGGAAUUCAGUUACGGUUGUUGGACAUGUUAGUUAGCGUGAGGGUGACGAGUUGUGUUGUGAUGUUGUUUUUUGAAGGCUAUGGAUGAAGGUUGGGAGUAAAUCUAUAGGAUCUCUAAAACUAACUUUCUUUUUGAAGUUUGUCUCAGGAUGUGGCUGUCUUACAAUGUCAUUUUGUUCACUCUGGUCCAAUAUAAAAAAUUUCAAAGAACCAUAAGGUCCAGAUUUUUCGUCAAAUGAAACUUUGCGGUUGAAUAAUCUAUGACCAAGUCCAAACACCUGUGAUGAGUUUUCACCAUUUCUUGGGUCUGUUUUAGCACAAUCCUUUGUGUCAGCUGUUGCUGAGAGAACAGUUCCAGAUGCAGAUACAUUACGCUCUGCCAAAAUGUUCCUCUUAGUGUGACCAUUAUUCUACUGAGAACCCCGUGAGGUAUUUUCAGAUGUACAAGCCUGAUCAUCAUAUAUAGAAUUUGAUUCCUUUGGAUUCUGUUGAGUAACCUUUCUGAUGAUUCCUGACCCUCUUUGUAAGUCGAACCAUUCCUUUUUUUGCAUUGAAUUGCAAAGCGAACCAUCAUUCAUCUCAUUAUUCGAAAUUAAAGACCAUUGGUUUAAGGAACUUGACAUGGUAAAGUCAGGAGGUUUUGUUUGCUGGCGGAAACAUCUGAUGGACUCACACAUCCCAAAUUCAACUCAUGUGGCUUUGAUAUGAAAUGAGGAAUUUCUGGUAGCAUGUGUCAGGAAAAUUCCUGAAUGUUUCCUUGCUAUAAGGAUCAUCUGAUGGACUCACAGAGUCCCAAUCAGAUCCAUGUGGUUCUGAUGUGUUGAUGUAGGUGUAUGGUAAAUUGAUAGGUCCAAAUGGAAUUCUUCACAGCGACAUUGGAUCCUGGAAGAACUGCCUUACAACCAUCUGCUUCUUGUUUUCUCGUUAUUUUGUCUUAAUGUAAAUUGUAGAUGUUUUUGAUUGGCUGCAUUUUGUGUUAAAACACUUACUGUACUUAGAUGUCUUGACUGAUGUCAUGCCAUGCUUAAAUAGUAUGCUGCAGGAUUAGCUAAUACAGGAUUUACUGGAUGUCAACCUGAAUGUUAUGACAUUCAUUCCUGACAGCAGAUGCUAAAGUAUAGGCCAAUUAGUUUUUCUGUUAUAUUUCAAUAUUUAUCUCAGGCUGAUUUUCAGGAAACUAACAGUUGUGCUAAAAUUAAGAGACCUAGCAUAUAGCCUAUUUUCUGGAUGUCAAACUGAAUCUUAUGACAUUCAUCCCUGAUAGCAAAUGCUAAAGUAUAGGCUAAUUAGUUUUUCUGUUAUGUUUCA